UUUCGCUUUUGAAUUGCGGUCUGUUUCUAGAACUAGGGGGGAUUUUAAGCUAUUUUACAGCUAAUGUCAUCACACUUGGACGAUAUCACAAGGGUUUUUCAAUAAUGAGAAAAGAAUGAUUUUUUAGGUAAGAAAUAAAUUUUGACUGAACGUCUCUCUAAUAAUGUGUCUCCCGCUGUGAUUUUGACCGCAGUUUAAACAGAGAGUCCGGAUAGGCUAAAACACUUUGCACCGUAAUUCGGUGGUACCGAGAAAUUUUUGCUCAACAUUUGGGGGGAUUGAUAAUGAGACAAUAAUCAAUAAUCUGAUUCCAAAAUAAAGUAAAAGAAGUUCAAACAAAAAAUUUACACGAUAAAUUCUUCGCAACAGUUGUUUGGGCUAAAGAAGGACUUUUGCAAUUAAGGUUUAUAUUACCUGAGACGAUCAUAUYAAAAGGAAACGAUGCAAAAUAUUCUAAAGUUUUGCGUGAUUCUAUCAACUUGAAAAGGCAUGAAAUCUACACAUCAAAUGUACUGCUCUUUCAUGAAAACCAACUAGAGCAUAUAUUAGCAAAUGUACAGGUCGCCAUCUAAAUCUUUAUAUUUUGUUGGCAACUAUCUUGAACGGCAGGAUUUUUUAAGAAUGCAGGAGCUACCAGUCAAAAAUGUAAAAAUCAAAUCCAUUUACUUAGUAC